AUUGAACGCUGGCGGCAGGCCUAACACAUGCAAGUCGAACGGUAACAGGCCUUCGGGCGCUGACGAGUGGCGGACGGGUGAGUAAGGUAUGGGGAUCUGCCUGAUGGAGGGGGAUAACCACUGGAAACGGUGGCUAAUACCGCGUAAUGUUGCAAGACCAAAGUGGGGGACCUUCGGGCCUCACGCCAUCAGAUGAACCCAUAUGGGAUUAGCUAGUAGGUGGGGUAAAGGCCUACCUAGGCGACGAUCUCUAACUGGUCUGAGAGGAUGACCAGUCACACUGGGACUGAGACACGGCCAGACUCCUACGGGAGGCAGCAGUGGGGAAUAUUGCACAAUGGGCGCAAGCCUGAUGCAGCCAUGCCGCGUGUAUGAAGAAGGCCUUCGGGUUGUAAAGUACUUUCAGCGAGGAGGAAGGCGUUAAGGUUAAUAACCUUGGCGAUUGACGUUACUCGCAGAAGAAGCACCGGCUAACUCCGUGCCAGCGCCGCCGCAGUAAUAC
rnacentral:rRNA from 1 species